rnacentral:rRNA from 1 species
AUGCUGGAGGUAUCAGAAGUGCGAAUGCUGACAUAAGUAACGAUAAAGCGGGUGAAAAGCCCGCUCGCCGGAAGACCAAGGGUUCCUGUCCAACGUUAAUCGGGGCAGGGUGAGUCGACCCCUAAGGCGAGGCCGAAAGGCGUAGUCGAUGGGAAACAGGUUAAUAUUCCUGUACUUGGUGUUACUGCGAAGGGGGGACGGAGAAGGCUAUGUUGGCCGGGCGACGGUUGUCCCGGUUUAAGCGUGUAGGCUGGUUUUCCAGGCAAAUCCGGAAAAUCAAGGCUGAGGCGUGAUGACGAGGCACUACGGUGCUGAAGCAACAAAUGCCCUGCUUCCAGGAAAAGCCUCUAAGCAUCAGGUAACAUCAAAUCGUACCCCAAACCGACACAGGUGGUCAGGUAGAGAAUACCAAGGCGCUUGAGAGAACUCGGGUGAAGGAACUAGGCAAAAUGGUGCCGUAACUUCGGGAGAAGGCACGCUGAUAUGUAGGUGAAGUCCCUCGCGGAUGGAGCUGAAAUCAGUCGAAGAUACCAGCUGGCUGCAACUGUUUAUUAAAAACACAGCACUGUGCAAACACGAAAGUGGACGUAUACGGUGUGACGCCUGCCCGGUGCCGGAAGGUUAAUUGAUGGGGUCAGCGCAAGCGAAGCUCUUGAUCGAAGCCCCGGUAAACGGCGGCCGUAACUAUAACGGUCCUAAGGUAGCGAAAUUCCUUGUCGGGUAAGUUCCGACCUGCACGAAUGGCGUAAUGAUGGCCAGGCUGUCUCCACCCGAGACUCAGUGAAAUUGAACUCGCUGUGAAGAUGCAGUGUACCCGCGGCAAGACGGAAAGACCCCGUGAACCUUUACUAUAGCUUGACACUGAACAUUGAGCCUUGAUGUGUAGGAUAGGUGGGAGGCUUUGAAGUGUGGACGCCAGUCUGCAUGGAGCCGACCUUGAAAUACCACCCUUUAAUGUUUGAUGUUCUAACGUUGACCCGUGAUCCGGGUUGCGGACAGUGUCUGGUGGGUAGUUUGACUGGGGCGGUCUCCUCCUAAAGAGUAACGGAGGAGCACGAAGGUUGGCUAAUCCUGGUCGGACAUCAGGAGGUUAGUGCAAUGGCAUAAGCCAGCUUGACUGCGAGCGUGACGGCGCGAGCAGGUGCGAAAGCAGGUCAUAGUGAUCCGGUGGUUCUGAAUGGAAGGGCCAUCGCUCAACGGAUAAAAGGUACUCCGGGGAUAACAGGCUGAUACCGCCCAAGAGUUCAUAUCGACGGCGGUGUUUGGCACCUCGAUGUCGGCUCAUCACAUCCUGGGGCUGAAGUAGGUCCCAAGGGUAUGGCUGUUCGCCAUUUAAAGUGGUACGCGAGCUGGGUUUAGAACGUCGUGAGACAGUUCGGUCCCUAUCUGCCGUGGGCGCUGGAGAACUGAGGGGGGCUGCUCCUAGUACGAGAGGACCGGAGUGGACGCAUCACUGGUGUUCGGGUUGUCAUGCCAAUGGCACUGCCCGGUAGCUAAAUGCGGAAGAGAUAAGUGCUGAAAGCAUCUAAGCACGAAACUUGCCCCGAGAUGAGUUCUCCCUGACUCCUUGAGAGUCCUGAAGGAACGUUGAAGACGACGACGUUGAUAGGCCGGGUGUGUAAGCGCAGCGAUGCGUUGAGCUAACCGGUACUAAUGAACCGUGAGGCUUAACC